UCAUCUUCUAAAGCAGCAGUAUAAUGCAAGACAUUAAAGUUACUACAAAUUACAAAAUAAAUAAAUACCGCAAAAGAUGAAUAAUGAGGUAGUGUUCAUUGCUUCAUGAACCAUUCAGAAAUAUGAAGGGUGAUCCACUAUCAGCGGC